rnacentral:tRNA from 1 species
UCGGGUAUGGUGUAGCGGUAACAUCGGUGACUCUCAUAUUCUGAUCACUCACCAGCCCGGGGUUCGACUCCCCGUAUCCGAG